rnacentral:rRNA from 1 species
UUGGAGGGCAAGUCUGGUGCCAGCAGCCGCGGUAAUUCCAGCUCCAAUAGCGUAUAUUAAAGUUGUUGCAGUUAAAAAGCUCGUAGUUGAAUUUCGGGAUUAGUACGUCGGUCGUGCCUUAGGUACGUACUGGUGUUACUGGUUCCUACCUUCUGACGAACCAUCAUGUCAUUAAUUUGGUGUGGUGGGGAAUCAGGACUGUUACUUUGAAAAAAUUAGAGUGUUUAAAGCAGGCUCGCGCUUGAAUACAUUAGCAUGGAAUAAUGAAAUAGGACGUUGAUCCUAUUUUGUUGGUUUCUAGGAUUGACGUAAUGAUUAAUAGGGAUAGUUGGGGGCAUUAGUAUUCAAUUGUCAGAGGUGAAAUUCUUGGAUUUAUUGAAGACUAACUACUGCGAAAGCAUUUGCCAGGGAUGUUUUCAUUAAUCAAGAACGAAAGUUAGGGGAUCGAAGACGAUCAGAUACCGUCGUAGUCUUAACCAUAAACCACGCCGACUAGGGAUCGGAUGAUGUUAUUUUUAAUGACUCAUUCGGCGCCUUACGGGAAAC